UACGUAGGGGGCAAGCGUUGUCCGGAUUUAUUGGGCGUAAAGAGCGUGUAGGCGGUCUGGUAGGUCCAUUGUGAAAACUCGAGGCUCAACCUCGAGACGCCGAUGGAAACCAUCAGACUAGAGUCCGGAAGAGGAGAGUGGAAUUCCUGGUGUAGCGGUGAAAUGCGCAGAUAUCAGGAAGAACACCCGUGGCUAAGGCGGCUCUCUAGUACGGUACUGACGCUGAGACGCGAAAGCGUGGGGAGCGAACAGG
rnacentral:rRNA from 1 species